GAUGAACGCUCGCGGGAGGCCUAACACAUGCAAGCCGAGCGGUAUGGAUAGCUUGCUAUCCAGAGAGCGGCGUCCGGGUGCGUAACACGUGUGCAACCUACCUUUAUCUGGGGGAUAUCCUUUCGAAUGGAAGAUUAAUACCCCAUAAUAUAAUGAUUGGCAUCAAUUUUUAUUGAAAACUCCGGUGGAUAGAGCUGGGCACGCGCAAGAUUAGAUAGUUGGUGAGGUAACGGCUCACCAAGUAAAUGAUCUUUAGGGGUCCUGAGAGGGAGAUCCCCCAGACUGGUACUGAGACACGGACCAGACUCCUACGGGAGGCAGCAGUGAGGAAUAGUAGACAAUGGGUGAGAGCCUGAUCCAGCCAUCCCGCGUGAAGGAUGAAGGUACUAUGGAUUGUAAACUUCUUUUGGACAGGGAUAAACCUACCCUCGUGAGAGUAGCUGAAGGUACUGUACGAAUAAGCACCGGCUAACUCCGUG
rnacentral:rRNA from 1 species